rnacentral:lncRNA from 1 species
GCGGACGAGGGGGAGCGGGGACAGACGGGGGGGCAGGAUACAGCCCCCUUGCAGCAGCCGCUGCGGGGUGCGCCCAGAUUGUGCGUGUGUAAGAUUUGGGGGGUGGAGGAAUGCAUCCGUCGGUGUGUGCGUGCGUACCUGUAUGUGUGCACACACCUGGGGGUGCAUGCACGGGUGUAUUUGCCACGAUGGGCGUGCAUGCGUGUGUAGAGAGCUGGGGGAGGUGUACAUCUGUGUGUGUGCGCGUGGUUGUUGUGUGUGUGUGUGUGUGCAUCCGUGUGGGUAGGGAGCCCCAUGUGCACAUAAGAGUGUGAGAAGGGUGUGUGGGGCUCAGGGGUGUGUAAGGAGCUGGUGUGCGUGUGCACCUGUGCGUGUGUGUAGGUGUAGAGGGGAGGUGGGGAAGUGUGUGUGCAGCUGUUGGUACAGGUGUAGCAUCUGUGUGUGUGUUCCUGCUGUCAGAGAGAGAAGGGCAAAGACAUGAGAGCAACACACACACACACACACACACACACACACACACACACACACACACACACACACACACACACACACACACACACACACACACACACACACACACACACACCCCUCUCGCUGUAACACACCCGGGCACACAACUUGCACCCAGGCACGUGCGCACAACCGCACGCGUUCACAAGCGCGCACACACACACACAGUUCUGCACUAUCUCACACACACGGAGGAGCGCACCAGGGCUCAAUCCGGGUUGGUUCCAGGGCACAGCGGAGUGGAACAUCCUUGCCAUCUGCCAGCAUGGAGGGAAAGGGACGGAGCCUGCCCCACGAUGCGAUGCUGCUGCUGCUGCUGGGGCUGGUGCUGAGCGUGGAGCCCGGCCAGGCGGCCGUGCACGUUAACCUCACCGAAGGUAGGUGGGACCCGCCGCCCUGCCCAUGCCCGGGGGGCCGCACGUACAAACUCUGCACACCUGCAUGAGCAAGCGUGGAAAGACACCUUGCACGUGUGCCCUGAUGCACACACCCAUGUACACGUGUCCAUGCACACGCGCGCUUGCACCCCUCUCCACCUGCCUUGCUCGAACCCCGAAGCCUCCCA